CAGUAGGGAGGAAGGUAGUGUAGUUAACACAUGCACUAUUUGACGUUACCUACAGAAGAAGCACCGGCUAACUCCGUGCCAGCAGCCGCGGUAAUACGGAGGGUGCGAGCGUUAAUCGGAAUUACUGGGCGUAAAGCGCAUGCAGGCGGCCUGUUAAGUCAGAUGUGAAAGACCCGGGGCGUUAACCUCGGAAUUGCAUUUGUAAACUAGGCAGGCUAGAGUCUUGUAGAGGGGGGUAGGAAGUUUCUAGGUGUAGCGGUGAAAUAGCGUAGAGAUCUGAAGGAAUACCAGUGGCGAAGGCGGCCCCCUCGGACAAAGACUGACGCUCAGAUGCGAAAGCGUGGGGAGCAAACAGGAUUAGAUACCCCUGGUAG
rnacentral:rRNA from 1 species